AGUAAAAUCAGCCUCAGAAGAAAGAGAAUAUUUAUGAGCAGAAUGGAGUUCCAUUUGAAGCAAGGACAACUUUCUCCAUAGGGAGGAAAAUAAAGUUAUGGAACAUCUAAAUAGAUUGCGAGAAUGCAAAACCAUGAGAUGUACUCAGAGGUGCUGGACAAUGUCAUUGGAACUAAUCCUUGAUUAUCUUUGAAGUGUUGUAGCAAUUGGAGAACAUUCUUGAGGACUGUAAUAAUCCAGGACUGCAUUACUGCUGUACUCAGGCAGAGAGAGAAAGAAGAUCUGGGGAAACUAGAAACCUGUCAUGCUCACAAUAGGAAAGUGAUAGAGCAAAUCUUCCUAGAAGACAUUUUCAAACACAUGAAGUUAAAGAAGUCAUAAACAAUCUCUGUCUGAUCACAGUUCUACAAGUGUAGCAAUUAUUUUCUAAUCAAUUUCAGAGGCAUAGAUCUUGGAACAAAAAUACAGUUUCAAAAGACUUUUAAGAGAAGCACACAAGCAGUAUUUCCUGAUUUUUCCUGACUUGAACUCUUCAGAAGAAUGUUUGAAUGGAUUUUCCUCAGCCUUUCUCCUCAGAAGCCAUUGGCUGAGUUCAGUAAUGGAAAAUUUCAGCCUAGAAAGAAGAACCUUUCAGAAACACAGAAGUAAGGGACUUGGAGCAGAAACUGUUUUGCAACUUUAACCACAGUACUACGUCAGCUUCCACAUGGAUGCUAUGAUACAGACAUAACAUUGUUUUACACAUGCAGUCUUUGAAGAUGAGGCAAUUACUCUUAG
ensembl:lncRNA